rnacentral:misc_RNA from 1 species
AUAUAUAUAUAUAUAUAUAACAAAUUACUGUUCAAGAUUCACAUGAUGAAAGCUCCUCGAGGAACAUACAGAACCAGCAAUUCAGGAACUUCAACCCAGAAGCCAGAUAUCAGGUACAAGUAAAGGUCGAAAGUUGCUAUAGAACAAAUAAGAUGGAAUCUUCUGAUUCCAAUUCAUAACUCUUAAUAGCUUCCAAGGAAGCAAGAAUUGCACAUUCAUUAUCAAUAUUUGAAUUGUCAGAAAAUGUUUACAUCAAGCCAAUGGCCAAAAAAAAAAACUUUUUCAUCCUGAAACUUCCCAAUGAAGUGUUGCAACAUUUAAAUUUGAAGAAUAAUUAAAAAUUUGUGGAUUCCUAAUAAUUCCAAAAGCUAUUAAUUAAUAUAUUAUAACCAAUAUCACAAAUUGCCAAGUGAGAUAGACAUCCCAAACUACUUCACAGACGAUCAUUUCAAGAGACUUUUGAGUCACCCAACAGAGCAAAAAUUAAAAAUAAAAAACUCACUCGCACGAAGAAGGGGCGGAGGAGGAGGUUCAGCAUGGACUUGGACUUGAAGAGGGAACGGCGUGUUCUGGGUAAUUUUAUUGGUAAUAUUAGUGAAAAAUCGCGGUUGCCAUAGCUCCCCAACGGCCACAAGCUGAACCAAACCAGUCCAUAGCAGAAUACUGGAGCAAACCCUUAUAAACCAAACUUGUAGGCGAGUUCUAGCGAUCACUGGAGUCGUCCCCGACCCAACCUUCUCGCACCUCACUGGUAAACCC